CUUCUCAUCCCGGUCCGGCUCCCGCUUCUUGCCCCGCUUCUCGGGUCCCGGGGCCACCCAACACUCCGGCCCCCGCGUCGCCGCCGGGGCUCCUGGCGCCCACAGAAUCUGUGGAAUGAAUGAGCAGGGGAAGAAGAAAAGAUGGAGUGAGGAGAAGUAACAUGUGUAACCUGAAGCCUGAACCAGCUGAGACAGGCAGAAGACCAGAAGGACAGUGUCCACCAGGUGCAAGGGAUAAUUUCAAACUCACACAGAUCUGUUUCCCAACAAAGAAGGAGCCCCAAAAUGCUUUAGGCGUUUUUCUUCACGCUUUUACUGAGUGCCUGGAGCUCCCCAGAAAUGACUGAGACUGGACAAAGGCCGCUUGGAGAAGGGACUGUGUCCCACCUGUUCAAUACCACAGCAUGCCUGGCACAUAGAAGGUACAUUGGCUGGUCUGUGUGGACAGCAUCUGCUUGAGGAGCUAGCAGCACUGGAGAAGAUUCAGUAAACCCCUAUUUUGCCACUUCCAUCCAUGAACUGGGGAUGACUUCAAUCCAAGGACAUUGUGUGAGUUCACCAUAAAAUUAUAAAAAUACCAAAUAAAAGUUUAGGAUAAGUAAGGAUAAAAGAGGACCCAAAAUAAAGAUGCAAACUGAUA